GAGUUUGGCUCAGUUGGUUAGAGCAUGGUGCUGAAAACACCAAGGUUGUUGGCUCAAGCCCUGGGUAGGCCCU